UGUCCAGGGGCGGGAAUCGAACCCACACCCUUCUGCUUACCGGGCAGGUGCCUUGUCCACUCGUCCAUACGUCCAGGGU